AGUGGCGAACGGGUGAGUAACAUGUGAGCAACCUGCCCCUGGCUCUGGGAUAGCCUCCGGAAACGGGGAUUAAUACCGGACAUGACCUGCUCCUGCAUGGGGGCGGGUGGAAAGUUUUUCGGCCGGGGAGGGGCUCGCGGCCUAUCAGCUUGUUGGGGGGGUAACGGCCCACCAAGGCGACGACGGGUAGCCGGCCUGAGAGGGCGACCGGCCACACUGGGACUGAGACACGGCCCAGACUCCUACGGGAGGCAGCAGUGGGGAAUAUUGCACAAUGGGCGGAAGCCUGAUGCAGCGACGCCGCGUGCGGGAUGAAGGCCUUCGGGUUGUAAACCGCUUUCAGCAGGGGCGAAUUUGACGGUACCUGCAGAAGAAGCGCCGGCUAACUACGUG
rnacentral:rRNA from 1 species